UCUGCGAUACACAAAUAAUAAUAUCUCUUCUUGCCCAAAAUUUAUCUUCCUCUUCCUCUUCUCCGAUUCACAAUUUCUGGGCGAUUCCAUCUCUCUAUCUAUCGGAUUAAUCGAACAGAGACUCUCUGUCCCUCUCUCAUGAUCGAACUCGGAUUUAAGCGAUUUAUGCCCACAGAUUCGAUCCCUAAUCGUUGGAGUUGUGGUGAUACCAAGAGGACUUGCGUUGAUUGUGGAACUAUCCGAAGGAGCACAUAAAAAUCUGGAGAAAUGCUCCUGUGGGCCAUUUGGAGCUACGUACUACUACUGACAAACCUCACUCACACAUACUUUGUCGGAAAUGCUCCAGUGGGCUAUACAAUCUACGGAACCUUAAUGUUGUUUGAAGAUUUUUAAUCAGUUGAUCAUGUAUGUAGAUGUUGUUGUUGUUGUUGUUGUUGUUUUAUGGACUCUUACCGGUUUGGGUCUCCGAUGCCAUUCCUUUUGACAUUUGAUUGUGGGCUCUUGACAUUUUCUUUAUUGCAAUGGCAACUUCAAGGAAGAAGCCUGAUCAUGCUUUACUCAUACGGGUGAGACACAAGUAAAUGGAUUGGCUCUGUUGGUGAAUCCAUUUUCUGGAGAUUUUGGUUGGAAUGCAUGUUUAUGCAUCUGGCUACUUGAUUUGUGAAAAAAACAAAAAUAAUGAUUUCCUUUCUUUUGGAUCUAUCCUCUAGUAGUAUAUGGGGGUUGCUAAAGGUAUUGUUCCUUUGUCGUAAGUCGAUAUGUUGGACAAUAUCUCAUUAAGCCUCUCCUAGGUUUCGUCUUUGGCCUAGCUGCUGUUUCUCUUUUCAAUCUCCCAACUCCAAUAGGUGCUGGAAUCAUAGAAUAGAUUCUUUUAUUUGAGAUAAAGUGGUCCGAUGGAUGAUUAUUUGGAAGAAUCAGCACCAGCGAAUUUGAGAGCCACACUGUUAACACAGUGACGUUGGUCGGUAGGAGUAGAGUAGCCUUCACCUUUGAAACAAUGGCCAAGAUAUCACUUAUUUUGAUUAUUUCUAUUACUUAGAAUAUGAUGUGAGGAAGGAGAAGUUGUGAGAAAGGAAAACAAUGGCCAAGAUAUCAUUGGUCUACUCGUAAAUGGAUUGGCUCACAAAGAUUGAAGUAAGUGAAUAUAAUUUGUUACUCUUACAUCAA